UACGGGGGGGGCAAGCGUUGUUCGGAAUUACUGGGCGUAAAGGGCUCGUAGGCGGCCAACUAAGUCAUACGUGAAAUCCCUCGGCUUAACCGGGGAACUGCGUCUGAUACUGGAUGGCUUGAGUUCGGGAGAGGGAUGCGGAAUUCCAGGUGUAGCGGUGAAAUGCGUAGAUAUUGGGAGGAACACCAGUGGCGAAGGCGGCUAUCUGGACGAACACUGACGCUGAGACACGAAAGCGUGGGGAGCAAACAGG
rnacentral:rRNA from 1 species